UACCAGCUCUCCGAGUGGUAGGGAUGUUUAUUGGGCUUAAAGCGUCCGUAGCCGGCUUAGCAAGUCUCCUGUUAAAUUCAGCGACCUAAUCGUUGAGCCGCGGGAGAUACUACUAGGCUAGGAGGCGGGAGAGGUCAACGGUACUUCCGGGGUAGGGGUGAAAUCCUAUAAUCCCGGGAGGACCACCAGUGGCGAAGGCUGUUGACUAGAACGCGCUCGACGGUGAGGGACGAAAGCUGGGGGAGCGAACCGGAUUAGAUACCCGGGUAGUCCCAGCUGUAAACGAUGCGAGCUAGGUGUUGGGGUGGCUACGUGCCACUUCAGUGCCGCAGGGAAGCCAUUAAGCUCGCCCGCCGUGGGGAGUACGGCCGCAAGGCUAGAAACUUAAAGGAAUUGGCGGGGAGCACCACAAGGCGUGAAGCUUGCGGUUC
rnacentral:rRNA from 1 species